rnacentral:rRNA from 1 species
AGCAGCCGCGGUAAUUCCAGCUCCAAUAGCGUAUAUUAAAGUUGUUGCAGUUAAAAAGCUCGUAGUUGAAUUUCGGGAUUGACACAUCGGUCGUGCCUUAAGGGGUAUGAACUGGUGUAGUCAAUUUCUCACCUUCUGGAGAACCGCGAUGCCCUUAAUUGGGUGUCGCGGGGAACCAGGACCUUUACUUUGAAAAAAUUAGAGUGUUUAAAGCAGGCAUUUUGCUUGAAUACAUUAGCAUGGAAUAAUAAAAUAGGACGGUAUGAUUCUAUUUUGUUGGUUUCUAGGAUCACCGUAAUGAUUAAUAGGGAUAGUUGGGGGCAUUAGUAUUCAAUUGUCAGAGGUGAAAUUCUUGGAUUUAUUGAAGACUAACUACUGCGAAAGCAUUUGCCAAGGAUGUUUUCAUUAAUCAAGAACGAAAGUUAGGGGAUCGAAGACGAUCAGAUACCGUCGUAGUCUUAACCAUAAACUAUGCCGACUAGGAAUCAGACGAUGUAAUUUUUAAUGACUCGUUUUGGCA